rfam:Pongo abelii chromosome 12.
GCCAGGCGUAGUGGUGUGCACCUGUAAUCCCAGCUACUUGGGAGGCUGAGGCAGGAGAAUUGCUUGAACCUGGGAGGCACAGGGUGCAGUGAGCCAAGAUCGGGCCACUGCACUCCAGCCUAGAUGACAGAGCGAGACUUUGUCUCAA